UACAGAGGUCCCAAGCGUUGUUCGGAUUCAUUGGGCGUAAAGGGCUCGUAGGUGGCCAACUAAGUCAGACGUGAAAUCCCUCAGCUUAACUGGGGAACUGCGUCUGAUACUGGAUGGCUUGAGUUUGGGAGAGGGAUGCGGAAUUCCAGGUGUAGCGGUGAAAUGCGUAGAUAUCUGGAGGAACACCGGUGGCGAAGGCGGCAUCCUGGACCAACACUGACACUGAGGAGCGAAAGCCAGGGGAGCAAACGGG
rnacentral:rRNA from 1 species